UCGUAUAUUCGUUUCAAACAUAAAUAAGCAUACAAGUUUUACUAAAAUAUGAAGAAUUUUUGCGGAAUAUUUUACGACUAUAUCCUGAGAAUUGAGUAGAGAAAAAAUCUAUGUAUCAUAGCGUGUAUCUCAAAUCGAAGAAAAGGUUGGACACAAAAAAAUAUCCGAAGGAAUUCAAAUAUUUAUGAUGAAUGUCACACCGAGCAGGAUAUUACAUAGAAGUGUCACACCAACUGACAUAAAAAAUGGCGAUCAAAAGAAGACACUGUCAAAAAGACACAACAACAUCGAAAACUAGAGACAUUUUCUUUCAAAAUAAGGCAGCUAAAAUAAAAAACUGUACCCCGACGGCAAAAACUAUUAAAUCGACGUUUAGAAGAAAAUUUCAUUUGGGAGCGAGAUGAAGAACUUUUAAAAGUAGAUUACCAAAUUAAAAAAAAGAUUCUGAAACAAUGUCAUACAGAAAUUGGGUGAAAAACAAAGAUCUUAAAUUCGUGUUAAACAUAUUUUUCAUACAGUAACAAACAUAACAUUUCACCAAGGAACACUGGCUAAUAUAGAAUACAAUAUACGAAGUUAUUAUAAAAAUAUUGAAGUAGUAACCAUGACAUUUCGAAGAAUUCAAGCAUUUUGGUACAAAAUCAAACUAAAUGUUUCAAAUCUAUUUUUUCAGAAGUAAUUUCUAACGGACUUACUAUAGAGGUGGAACUCACUUUGAAUGUGGAGACUAUGCGAAACUCUUCAUUAUCCUAAAUAUUAUAAAGGUGUAUACUAACAAAUUUUGUGUAGUUGUGCCGAAGGUUUAGAAAGAUUUUAUUUUAUGGAAAAAAAAAAAUUCUUUCAAUUGUUCGUCUAUCUUCGUUUAAUCGACCACACAAUCAAUACACUUUAUUCUGAAGUGGCAUAAACGACCAUUAAAUAUGUGUAUUUGACAAUGCAUACUGUGUUUCAGCUGUGUACUAUUCAGUCAAUAUAUCUCUCGUGGUAAAGUCGUUGGUUAAAGCGAUAUGUUCACAUAUUCAUCUCACAAUUCCAAAACAUUGGAUUUUCCAGCAUGAAGUCGGGAUGGUGAAAUAUUUUCAGUGAAUCAAUAUAUUGUUAUGAAUUUAAUGUUGCAAUCGGAUUCGUGCUCAGUCGCCUGCAAUUUAUAUUUGAAGGAAGACUCGAUUCUGAAGACUCAAAUCAGUAACAUUUAUCAUAAUGAAGGCAUAAGAUCUGAUGGAAAUGAAUCAAAGUUGAGAAGUUCCCUCUCGAGAAAAAUUGAUCUGGGUUUUCUGAUUAUUUUCGAUAUUGAUUUUAUAUUUAUUAGCAGUUUGCUUAGAGGAAUUUGAUGUCUAUUUUCAAUGUAGUACGGAAUGUUAUGAUUUUUUAUGUAAAGCCAUAAAUUGUUUAAUUUUAUAUAAUUUUUUCAUCACACCAGACAGCACACAAUGCAUAUAACUAAUCGAAAAACUAAAUAUUAUAUCAAAGUCCUUCGUAGCUAUCAUACAAAACAAUAUUUUAUCACCUUGCACAUGUUUUCAAUUUUGUGUAAGUGUUUAUCCUAUAUUCAUGAGAACGAAAUUUUUCAAUCCAUCUUUGUAUAACGUGCAACAAAUCAGAAUCUGAUCCUUUGGGCAAAUUUAUAACUUUUUUGGAUAAUAAUUUUUUAA